rnacentral:tRNA from 1 species
GUCUUCGUGGCUCAGUUGGUUAGAGCGUUGGUCUCAUAACGGUAUCGUUCAUGAAGUCACAAAGAGUGUCUGCUAUCCAAAGGUCGCGAGUUCGAGUCUCGCCGAGGACA